rnacentral:lncRNA from 11 species
ACAAAAGCCACAAGAAGAAUACUUAGGGCAGAACAAACACAUACUCACACACUCAUAAACCAGCUAUUGACUGGCUGCAAUAGGUCUCUGAGUGCCUUCCAGCUACUCUGGUAUACCCAAGAAAGAAAUAGCAGCCUCUGAUCCUGCGUUAAGCUAUUCCUUUCCCAGUUGCUUAAGGACAGCUAAAAUGCUCCCAUGUCUAUCUCACAGCCCUAGAAGGAUGGUACAUUUGAGGGGCAAUAGGGCUUCAAAAGGAGGUAUUAGAUGACUCCGUCCACAGUGACCCCCAAAGUAUCUAUGGUGGUAUAACCAGUAGUGCUAUCAGCAUUUCUCACCAGGAGGCUUCUCCUUACAAAAUGGAAAUUUCCUCUCUGCAGGAUUCUCACACCCUUAAUCAUGGCAGUAUGACCAAGGCACCAUACAAAAGCUGUCUGUGCUGCUGAUAAAGCAAAUGAAGCAUAACAUUUAAGGCAAUGAUUAAGAGUUCAAAGGCAAAAUGGCUCAAAUAUAAGUAGGAAAAAUCAAUCAGAAACUAGUGCCCAGAAAAACACUAGCAUCCCUUCCCUAUAACAUCUCUGGAAACAAAAUAAGGGUAUAGUAUUGUACUGAAAGUUAUUAAACACACUGGGCGUGUAUUGCAUUAUUAAAGUCAGUCACAAAUAGACACUUUGGAUGGUGAAAGUCAGCUUAGAAACUUACUUUUCAUUAGCAAUUAGUUGUAGCUAAAGUUCUAAGAUCCCAUGUAGUGAGAUGCAGUAUUUUUAAAGUAUUUUUUCUUCUCUGCUUCUUGAAACCAGCAAUUUAGUUACUUUUAAAAUAUAUCUCUGAAUGUCACAAGCCAUGUAUACAAAACACCCUCUCCUCCCAACCACUUAAUUGUCACUUCAGCAACCACAACCAAGAAUAAGGUGGCGGCAGCAGCAACAUGAAGCUGGUAAUUUAACUUGGUGAUAUAUCUUCCCAUCACACAUAAUCAUAAAAAUGACUGUACCCUUUUGCUAUUGGGAAAGGAAUUGAUUCCUUCUAAUUCCAAAUUUUGUGAGCAACUGGCCCAAAAG